CUUCCUUCCCCUAUAGAUUUAUAUGCUUUCCAUGUCAUUCUACUUUGAUCCAUUCUCUCUAAAUGACCAAACCACCUCAACAACCCCUCUUCUGCCCUAUGACUAAUACUUUUAUUAACUCCACACCUCCUAAUUUCCAAACUCCGAAUUUUCUGCAUAAUAUUUACACCACACAUUGCCCUUAAACAGGACAUCUCCACUGCCUCCAACCGUCUCCUCGCUGCUGCAUUUACCACCCAAGCUUCACACCCAUAUAAGAGUGUUGGUACUACUAUACUUUCAUACAUUCCCUUCUUUGCCUCCAUAGAUAACGUUUUUUGACUCCACAUAUACCUCAACGCACCACUCACCUUUUUUUCCUCAUCAAUUCUAUGAUUAACCUCAUCCUUCAUAAAUCCAUCCGCCGACACGUCAACUCCCAAGUAUCUGAAAACAUUCACUUCUUCCAUACUCCUCCUCCCCAAUUUGAUAUCCAAUUUUUCUUUAUCUAAAUCAUUUGACACCCUCAUCACCUUACUCUUUUCUAUGUUCACUUUCAACUUUCUACCUUUACACACAUUCCCAAACUCAUCCACUAACCUUUGCAAUUUUUCUUUAGAAUCUCCCAUAAGCACAGUAUCAUCAGCAAAAAGUAACUGUCAAUUCCCAUUUUGAAUUUGAUUCCCCAUAAUUUAAUCCCACCCCUCUCCCAAACACCCUAGCAUUUACUUCCUUUACAACCCCAUCUAUAAAUAUAUUAAACAACCAUGGUGACAUUACACAUCCCUGUCUAAGACCUACUUUUACCGGGAAGUAGUCUCCCUCUCUUCUACACACCCUAACCUGAGCCUCACUAUCCUCAUAAAAACUCUUUACAGCAUUUAAUAACUUACCACCUAUUCCAUAUACUUGCAACAUCUGCCACAUUGCUCCUCUAUCCACUCUAUCAUAUGCCUUUUCUAAAUCCAUAAAUGCAAUAAAAACUUCCCUAUCUUUAUCUAAAUACUGUUCACAUAUAUGCUUCAAUGUAAACACCUGAUCUACACAUCCCCUACCCACUCUAAAACCUCCUUGCUCAUCCGCAAUCCUACAUUCUGUCUUACCUCUAAUUCUUUCAAUUAUAACCCUACCGUACACUUUUCCUGGUAUACUCAGUAAGCUUAUUCCUCUAUAAUUUUUACAGUCUCUUUUGUCCCCUUUCCCUUUAUAUAAAGGGACUAUACAUGCUCUCUGCCAAUCCCUAGGUACCUUCCCCUCUUUCAUACAUUUAUUAAACAAAAGUACCAACCACUCCAACACUAUAUCCCCCCCUGCUUUUAACAUUUCUGAAAACCCUGAUAUUAUAGCUAUUACAGAGAUGAAGAUCUAUGGAAUCAUAAAUGUGAUAUUUCCAAAGGGCUACCACAUAGUAAAAGAAAGGGAAAACACAGUACUACUAAGAUUUCAACCACAAGGAGAUAGAUUAGGAAAACUGGGACCCCCAUUGAGGCCCAGACAUGUGGAGAGCAAAACUUAUGGAAGUAGUAUUGAAGAGUUUUCCAAGACAUGUGAAGGGGAACAUGAGCCGGCAAGAUUUGAUCUAAUUUUUACACAAUUAUUAGGACGGCUGUAAUUACUUGUAGGGUACCACUAGGUACUAGUAAACAACUCAGAUUACUUAUAGGAAACCACUAGGUGCCAGUAAUUACUGGGUACUAAGUUUUGAGCACCUUGUGGAAAUGGGAGUGGGGAAAGAAAGGAAGUGAGAAACAGGAGACAUGACUACAGAAGGGAGGAAUGGUAUGAUGGAAUAAGAAACUUCCUGAGUGAGGUGCACUGGGAAAGACACCUGGAGGACAAUGAACAAAUAAUGAUUGCAGUAUUAGAAUCAAAGUGCCAAGAGGCAAAGUAAAGAUUUAUACCAAACAUGAGGAAAAGAAACAAGAAAAACUGAAAAAGUUCAUGGCUUAAUUGUGAAUAAAUUUACCCUGUGAAACCCUGAAGAAUGUGUGCUAAUGACUUUGCAGAUGGUUGAAGGACAUCCUAUUUUAUAGUUGUGAUUUUAGAGUGGGCCAGCAUGCUUUAAUGGCAAACACUAUAGCAUCAAAGGCCACAAGAGAACCAAAAAUACUCCACAACCACAUAAAACAAGACUAACAGUGAAGGACCAAGUGAUAAAUCUGAAGGAUGAUGAGAUGUUGAUGAAGAAUGGCAGUAGUAUGCCAAGAACUUAGCAAAAGAUUCAAAGGUCUAUACUGAAGAAAGUGGUAAGUUACCAGAAUCCACUGUUGACAGACUAGAGCAACAGGUACUAGAAACUAUCAGCAUAACAAAAUAAAUGAUGAAACUACUAUACAAGUCUAAUGUUAGAAGAGCAAUUGGACCUGAUACCUUCACGAGUGCUGAGAGGAACAGAGCCACUGUAUGACCCAAUAGCUAAGGUUUCCACCUAAUAUAUCCAGGGACAAAUGCCAAAAAAUUGGAAAAAAGCAAAUGUGGUCGUCAUAAGACAUAAAAACAGGGACAGACAAGAUACACUGAACUACAGGCUUACAGGUGAUAUCUUUACCAUGCAUACUGAUGUGAUAAAUGGUUUAGAAAACCAACAAGUUGAAGAUCGAGACACUUACGCAACACAUGAGAAUCUUUAUUGAGGAAACGUUUCGCCACACAGUGGCUUCAUCAGUCCAAUACAAAUCAGAAGGGUGUAAGGAGAGGAGGAGUUUGAGGUAAUCAGUCCCUCAGCCUGGAGGCGAUGUGUUCAGUCCAUCAAUCUUGUAAGAAGCACAGCAUAGGGCUGUAGACUUGGCUUGUUUACUGUAGUCAGGUGAGGCGAAGCAGGAGGAUGGGGGGUCGGAGUAGGUCUUUAUCCAAAGGUUGGACAAGGUUGAGGAAUUGUUUGUAUAAAGAUCCCAUGACGUUGCAAUGUCUGACAGUUGUGAUAAAUGGUUUAGAAAACCAACAAGUUGAAGAUUGAGACACUUAUGCAACAUAUGGGAAUCUUUAUUGAGGAAACGUUUUGCCACACAGUGGCUUCAUCAGUCCAAUACAAAUCAGAAGGGUGUAAGGAGAGGAGUUUGAGGUAAUCAGUCCCUCAGUCUAGUGUCGAUGUGUUCAGUCCAUCAGUCUUGUCAGACACUGCAACAUCAUGGGAUCUUGAUACAAACAAUUCCUCAAGCUUGUCCAACCUUUGGACGAAGACCUACUUUGACUAGUGGAUGGUACCACUAUGACCCCGCCUCCUCCUGCUUUGUCUCACCUGACUACAGUACAUAAGCCACGUCUACGGCCCUAUGCUGUACUUCCAACAAGACUGAUGGACUGAACACAUCGACUCCAGGCUGAGGGACUGAUUACCUCAAACUCCUCCCCUCCUUACACCCUUCUGAUUUGUAUUGGACUGAUGAAGCCACUGUGUGGUGAAACGUUUCCUCAAUAAAGAUUCCCAUAUGUUACAUAAGUGUCUCAAUCUUCACCAUGCAUACUGUUGAGAGUUCUGAAGAUAGUAAGAAAAAGGAUAGUGGUGCACUUGGAGGAAAGAUGAUUACUUAUAGAAAACAGCACAAAUUCAGGGAUGGAAAAUCCUGUCUGUACAAACUUACUGGAGUUCUGUGACAGUCAGAGAUGAAACAAGACAGACAGGGCUGGGCAGAUUUCAACUUCUUGGAUUUAAGGAAAACUUUUGAGCCUGUAGUCCAGAAAUUGGAGAAAAUGGCAGUGUGCUUCAGUGGGUUAGAGAGUGCUUGAAUGAAAAAGCAAGAGUAUCUGUAAGGGAUGAGACAUCAGAAUGGAGGAGAGUAACACGUAGGGCUCAAUACUAUAGCUACUGUUGUUCUGUAUGAUCCUAUGGGUUAUACAGCUUUCCUACGAGUACAUUCUGUUUAAUUAGGAAAUUAAGUUUAUCUCCAUUUAUGGCAGGCCAAAGCAUCUGACACGGAAAAUUAACAAGUGUCUACUGCACACAAAUGUUCACAUAUUUAAGAUUGUUGUAAAUGCAUAUCUUAAACAUCAAUACUCAAGCUUCUCCAAUUGUUUUUGAAUGUGGCACAUGAGGGUACUAACUCAAGAAUGCCCGUGCAAUAUGUUAUACCUCUACUUGGAAAGUGGAACAUGUAAUAUACUGGUAUUUAUAGGCUAUUGUACUUAUUUGCAAAUCUCAAAUCCAGAUUUUGAGGUAUCAUCGUGCCUAUUAAGUGUUAACACAUGCAUAUUAUAAACUUCUGAUGCGCAUUUUGCAUUAUUUAUUAUUGUGAAUGGUUUAGUUUUAUAUCUAUUAUUUCCUAUUUGUUAUGUUUCUUACAUUUGUUAUGCAGAAUGCAGUGUUUUACAAUAUCUGAUGUUAUUGUUUUGCAAUGUGUAUAAAGUUGUAUGUAUUAAUA